rnacentral:tRNA from 1 species
GGUCUGGUGGUCUAGUGGUAUGAUUCUCGCUUAGGGUACACCCUAAACUGAGACCGUGGGAUUCAAUCCCGCUGGUCGCUCGCCGCAUGCGAGAGGUCCCGGGUUCAAUCCCCGGCCAGACCC